rnacentral:rRNA from 1 species
UAAGGUUAAGUUAAUAAGGGCGCACGGUGGAUGCCUUGGCACUAGAAGCCGAUGAAGGACGUGACUAACGACGAAAUGCUUUGGGGAGCUGUAAGUGAGCAAUGAUCCAGAGAUGUCCGAAUGGGGGAACCCGGCAGGUAAUGCCUGUCACUCAUUACUGUUAAGGUAAUGUAGAGGAAGACGCAGUGAACUGAAACAUCUAAGUAGCUGUAGGAAGAGAAAGCAAAAGCGAUUGCCUUAGUAGCGGCGAGCGAAACGGCAAGAGGGCAAACCGAAGAGUUUACUCUUCGGGGUUGUAGGACUGCAACGUGGACUUAAAGAUUAUAGAAGAACUACCUGGGAAGGUAGGCCAAAGAGAGUAAUAGCCUCGUAUUCGAAAUAGUCUUUAUACCUAGCAGUAUCCUGAGUACGGCGAGACACGAGAAAUCUCGUCGGAAUCUGGGAGGACCAUCUCCCAACCCUAAAUACUCUCUAGUGACCGAUAGUGAACCAGUACCGUGAGGGAAAGGUGAAAAGCACCCCGGGAGGGGAGUGAAAUAGAACCUGAAACCGUGUGCCUACAACAAGUUCGAGCCCGUUAAUGGGUGAGAGCGUGCCUUUUGUAGAAUGAACCGGCGAGUUACGAUAUGAUGCGAGGUUAAGUUGAAGAGACGGAGCCGUAGGGAAACCGAGUCUUAAUAGGGCGCAUUAGUAUCAUGUCGUAGACCCGAAACCAUGUGACCUACCCAUGAGCAGGUUGAAGGUGAGGUAAAACUCACUGGAGGACCGAACCAGGGCACGUUGAAAAGUGCUUGGAUGACUUGUGGGUAGCGGAGAAAUUCCAAACGAACUUGGAGAUAGCUGGUUCUCUCCGAAAUAGCUUUAGGGCUAGCGUCGAUGUUAAGUCUCUUGGAGGUAGAGCACUGUUUGGGUGAGGGGUCCAUCCCGGAUUACCAAUCUCAGAUAAACUCCGAAUGCCAAUGAGAUAUAAUCGGCAGUCAGACUGCGAGUGCUAAGAUCCGUAGUCGAAAGGGAAACAGCCCAGACCACCAGCUAAGGUCCCAAAAUAUAUGUUAAGUGGAAAAGGAUGUGGGGUUGCACAGACAACUAGGAUGUUAGCUUAGAAGCAGCUAUUCAUUCAAAGAGUGCGUAAUAGCUCACUAGUCGAGUGACCCUGCGCCGAAAAUGUACCGGGGCUAAAACAUAUUACCGAAGCUGUGGAUACCUUUAUAGGUAUGGUAGGAGAGCGUUCUAUGUGCGAAGAAGGUGUACCGUGAGGAGUGCUGGAGCGCAUAGAAGUGAGAAUGCCGGUAUGAGUAGCGAAAGACAGGUGAGAAUCCUGUCCACCGUAAGACUAAGGUUUCCAGGGGAAGGCUCGUCCGCCCUGGGUUAGUCGGGACCUAAGGAGAGACCGAAAGGUGUAUCCGAUGGACAACAGGUUGAUAUUCCUGUACUAGAGUAUAUAGUGAUGGAGGGACGCAGUAGGCUAACUAAACCAGACGAUUGGAAGUGUCUGGCCAAGCAGUGAGGUGUGAUAUGAGUCAAAUGCUUAUAUCUUUAACAUUGAGCUGUGAUGGGGAGCGAAGUUUAGUAGCGAAGUUAGUGAUGUCACACUGCCGAGAAAAGCUUCUAGCGUUAAUUAUACUCUACCCGUACCGCAAACCGACACAGGUAGUCGAGGCGAGUAGCCUCAGGUGAGCGAGAGAACUCUCGUUAAGGAACUCGGCAAAAUGGCCCCGUAACUUCGGGAGAAGGGGCGCUGACUGAUGGUCAGCCGCAGUGAAUAGGCCCAAGCAACUGUUUAUCAAAAACACAGCUCUCUGCUAAAUCGUAAGAUGAUGUAUAGGGGGUGACGCCUGCCCGGUGCUGGAAGGUUAAGAGGAGUGCUUAGCGUAAGCGAAGGCAUGAAUUGAAGCCCCAGUAAACGGCGGCCGUAACUAUAACGGUCCUAAGGUAGCGAAAUUCCUUGUCGGGUAAGUUCCGACCCGCACGAAAGGCGUAAUGAUUUGGGCACUGUCUCAACGAGAGACUCGGUGAAAUUUUAGUACCUGUGAAGAUGCAGGUUACCCGCGACAGGACGGAAAGACCCCAUGGAGCUUUACUGCAGUUUGAUAUUGAGUAUCUGUACCACAUGUACAGGAUAGGUAGGAGCCUAUGACCUCGGGACGCCAGUUUCGAGUGAGGCGUUGUUGGGAUACUACCCUUGUGUUAUGGCUACUCUAACCCAGAUAGGUUAUCCCUAUCGGAGACAGUGUCUGACGGGCAGUUUGACUGGGGCGGUCGCCUCCUAAAAGGUAACGGAGGCGCCCAAAGGUUCCCUCAGAAUGGUUGGAAAUCAUUCGCAGAGUGUAAAGGUAUAAGGGAGCUUGACUGCGAGAGCUACAACUCGAGCAGGGACGAAAGUCGGGCUUAGUGAUCCGGUGGUUCCGUAUGGAAGGGCCAUCGCUCAACGGAUAAAAGCUACCCUGGGGAUAACAGGCUUAUCUCCCCCAAGAGUUCACAUCGACGGGGAGGUUUGGCACCUCGAUGUCGGCUCGUCGCAUCCUGGGGCUG